rnacentral:lncRNA from 1 species
CUACAGAAGGGGCAGAAUGGAGAGGAAGCCACGUAUCGAAUGCAGAUUGACCACCAGAACUCCUAGAGACCUGUAGGACAUAGACAUCAGAACAAACAGCUCACCUGCGUAGGAGGAGCACAGACUGUCCACAGCUAACAGUACACCCACACUGGGGGAGUUCCAACCCUCCACGGCUGAACUAUUGCUGUCUUCCAGAAUGAAAUGGCCUUAGGAACUUGAGUCGGAGUGCAUCUCCAGAAAUAGGGCUUUAACAGUGCUGCCUUAUUCCUUGUGCCCGACAAUCCUCUGCAGGGUUCCAGUCCUCCGUCAAAGAUCUGCUGCUGUCAGCACUUUCCGGCAAAGAUCC